UACUGUGUUUAGAAAAAACAGGCGGUGUGGGGAUGCCAGUGUUGCUACUUGUUGGACGAUGCUCCGAGCGUGGUUCUUCUAGACGGUGCAUCUUGUUGUCAGGGUUUUGACUGGUUGUCUUUAAUCCGGCCAUGACGCUCUUAUUUUGGUUUAGUUUUUCUGGUAAACCAGAUCACUUCUCUGUAAAUGUGAAAAAAAAAACUUCCCGCAUUCUUGAUGCGGUUUUCUUAAAAAAAAAAGGUUGCGUCAUUAUUUUUUUUUAUAAAGAGAGAAAAGAUUACUACUCAUGUUCCCGAAAAUUUAAACUAAAACAACGACAACUAUUUAUUUAGAAAUGAAGGGACAUCACAUCGGUCAGGCUCCGGCAAACGCAGGCGCAGCCCCAGGUGAAGACUACUACUAUAC
rnacentral:lncRNA from 1 species